rnacentral:lncRNA from 1 species
ACCCCAUGAUGAAAUAUUAAGCCAAAUAAAAUCCUCAUUUAAUAGUCCUUAUAGUUGCUUUUCCAAUUCCACUUACUCAAAUGAUGUCAUUCUGUAGAGAGGCUUAGAUAUUGGGAUUGUCUCAAAGACUAAAUCAAAAGCAAAGUCACGUUUUGGAGGUAAUUCAGGCAAAUCAUCUUGGGAUACAUUAGGCAAGGAGAUAAAU